rnacentral:rRNA from 1 species
UACGUAGGGUGCAAGCGUUAAUCGGAAUUACUGGGCGUAAAGCGUGCGCAGGCGGUUUUGUAAGUCUGUCGUGAAAUCCCCGGGCUUAACCUGGGAACUGCAUUUGUGACUGCAUGGCUGGAGUGCGGCAGAGGGGGAUGGAAUUCCGCGUGUAGCAGUGAAAUGCGUAGAUAUGCGGAGGAACACCGAUGGCGAAGGCAAUCCCCUGGGCCUGCACUGACGCUCAUGCACGAAAGCGUGGGGAGCAAACAGG